rnacentral:rRNA from 1 species
CAUGUCCUUUAGAAUUUAAUUUAAGGUCUAGCCUGCCCACUGAAAUUAAUUUAAAUGGCCGCAGUAAUUUGACUGUGCAAAGGUAGCAUAAUCAUUAGUUUUUUAAUUAAAAGCUUGUAUGAAAGGUUGGACGAGGUAAAAUCUGUCUCUAAUUAAUUUAAUUUAGAAUUUAACUUUUAAGUCAAAAGGCUUAAAUUUAAUUAAAAGACGAGAAGACCCUAUAGAUCUUUAUAAUUUAUUUAUUAAAUUUAAUUAAGAAUUUUUUAAAUUUUAUUAAUUUAAUUAUUUUAUUGGGGUAAUAUAAAGAUUAAAUUAAUUCUUUUUUUUUAUUAACAUUAAUUUAUGAUUUUAUGAUCCAAUUUUAUUGGUUAUAAGAUUAAGUUACCUUAGGGAUAACAGCGUUAUUUUUUUAGAGAGUUCUUAUCGAUAAAAAAGUUUACGACCUCGAUGUUGGAUUAAAGAUUAUUUCAGGUGUAGAAGUUUGAAAAUUUUGGUCUGUUCGACCAUUAAAUCUUUACAUGAUCUGAGUUCAGACCGGUGUAAGCCAGGUCGGUUUCUAUCUUUAAUAAAUUAAAAUAUUUUAGUACGAAAGGACCAAUUAUUUAAUAUAAAAUAUUUAAAUUUUGUUUAUUAUU